GGAACUCUCAUCCGGUCAAAAAGUUGGACGCCUUCAGCUUUUUGACAUUACACAUAAGAAAACAGAUAGAUCUUUUGUAACGCCCCUAACCCGAAUCCAUCACCAGAAUAGAGUUACGGAGUAUUAUUGGAGUUACGAUUUAUUUAUCAGAUAUUUUAUUUCAUCUAACGUUCAUAUUUGGAACCAAUUAAAAUCAAACAUAUUGUCCC
rnacentral:lncRNA from 1 species